UCCGGUUUGUCACCGGCGGUCUCCUUAGAGUUCCCACCAUUACGUGCUGGCAACUAAGGACAAGGGUUGCGCUCGUUGCGGGACUUAACCCAACAUCUCACGACACGAGCUGACGACAGCCAUGCAGCACCUGUCUCUCGGCUCCCGAAGGCACCCCCGCAUCUCUGCAGGGUUCCGAGGAUGUCAAGGCCAGGUAAGGUUCUUCGCGUUGCAUCGAAUUAAACCACAUGCUCCACCGCUUGUGCGGGUCCCCGUCAAUUCCUUUGAGUCUCAACCUUGCGGCCGUACUCCCCAGGCGGAGAACUUAGCGCGUUAGCUGCGACACCGAGGGGCUAAUUCCCCCCGACAUCUAGUUCUCAUCGUUUACGGCGUGGACUAC
rnacentral:misc_RNA from 1 species